rnacentral:rRNA from 1 species
GAUUCAGGCUCAGGAUGAACGCUAGCUACAGGCUUAACACAUGCAAGUCGAGGGGCAGCAUGGUCUUAGCUUGCUAAGGCCGAUGGCGACCGGCGCACGGGUGAGUAACACGUAUCCAACCUGCCGUCUACUCUUGGACAGCCUUCUGAAAGGAAGAUUAAUACAAGAUGGCAUCAUGAGUUCACAUGUUCACAUGAUUAAAGGUAUUCCGGUAGACGAUGGGG